ensembl:lncRNA
UUUUUUUUUUUUUUUUUUUUAAAUAGUAGAAAUUUAUUCCUCAAUUCUGGAGACUAGAAGUCUAAGGUCAUCCUGUUUUCAGGGUUUGUUGUUUGUUUUGCUUUUUACAGCCACACCUGUGGCAUAUAGAAGUUCCUAGGCUAGGGGACAAAUUGGAGCUGCAGUUGCUGGCCUAGACCACAGCUCAUGGCAACGUCAGAUCCUUAGCCCACCAAACGAGGCGAGGGAUUGAACCUGUAUCCUCAUGGGUACUAGUUGGGUUCAUACUGCCGAGCCACACAGGAACUCCUCGAAGAGGUUUUGAACAUAUUUUGUACUGGACUCUGGAUUUCUAUGUAAACUGAAGUAUUCGGGGCUACUGAUUUGCUGAGGCAGUUAAAAAGUGUAAAACCUAACAAUGGUCUUAGGGAGUAGGUGUUGAGAUGCAGACAUUUGGCUUGUAAUUGUCAGGUAGGUCCUGAGCAUCAGUGUUUAAUAAGCUUCCAGGUAACUCUAGGUGCCAUGGAUUGAAAACUACUGGGAUGAGUAACCGAGUUCUUAGCCCCAGUGGUGCGGCUGGAAUCUGAGAACAACUUAGUAUUUUGGAGCUUAUGCUCCAAAUUAGAGUGUUUUUCAUACAUGUAAUUAUCCUUUUUGCUUGCCUUAGAAUUGAAAGAGCAUUCAUUAAACAUAACUGCUUCACAUCUGUUUUCAGCUCCACUACCAACCUUGUCAAGGAACUUGACUGAUUUGUCAUCUUUUCAUAAAGAUUCUGAUAGCCAGCUGUGUCGAACCUGUCCUCUGAGGUAGCUGAUACAUAGAUGAUGGCAAGGGUAGUUGUGAUGCUGUCUUCAGCAUCACAAACUUGGUAUUUUUCACCCUUCCUUUCUGCUCUUGUAGAAAACAUGCAGUCCUAGAUGGGCCUGAGGAGACCAGGUGGGAGCACUGAGUAGAGUGGUACAUUCUAGUCCAUGGUCCCUCAUUUUCAUCAUUGCAUUAUACUCUGCAGUAGCAACCACGAACCAUGGCCUGGAACCUGGCUUGUCAUCGCCCCCAGAGAACACUGCUAAGUGACCAAGCUUAGCACAAACAAUUUGAUGGCACAGAGGUAAUUCAAGGACUUCUCAGUAAGAAUUUGCCCAUUUCACUGAGAUGAACUUCUAUACCUGAGGACACCUGCACUUCUAAUCCUCCUCCUGGCUUUUCUUUCCCCUAGUAACACCCACUCCCCACAGGUUCGGCUUAAAUAUCCCUACUGGUCACCUAGCCCGCCCUCUGCACACCCAGUCAUGGUAGUCACUGGGACAGGAUUACCCCAGUGUGGCUCCACUUAACGUGGGUGUGUUUGGGGACCUGUAACACUGAGUCAGGACACAGAGAUGUGUACUUUCUCAGUGCUUGACGCUUGGCUGAUGUACCUACUUCUUAGGAGGUAGGGUUUUUUUUUUCGCAUGUGGAAGUUUGGGGCUGGGGCCAGGGAUCACCCUGUGCCACAGCAGUGACAAUGCUGGACCUUAACCCACUGAGCCACUCAGAAACUCCUAACUGAAACUGUGCGUGUAACACAGGAGGUGACAUUCAUCUCUAAGCUGAGGCCAUUUGCCCACUAAUAUUUUAGGUGAUAGUUUCCACAUCAUGAACCUGAACAGACGAGGAUGAUUGCAGUCAUGGCCCCCAGAGUUCACCUGUGUGAAUCCUAAAACCUGGCUUCUCCCGUAAGGCUACUAACACCUCUGUACCCCGGCCUCCCCAGCUUUUCUGGCUUUAACAGCAGGGCUGCUUGUUUUGAAGCUGGGGAGCAUCCUUCAGGCAGCAGGGCUGUGGUCUCAAAUCACAUUGGAAUCUUGGCUCCAGGUCAGUUUUUGGCUUAUAUUUUAAACAGCAAAUAGCUCAAAGCUAUCUGUAAAGUGAAAAAAACUGGUCUUAUGGAUUCACUAUGAUGGAUUACACUACACACUGUUGGUAAAGGGCCUAUUACUUAGAACAAUAAAUGGUACCUGUUACUUCUUUUCAGAGUCUUCCUUCAGUGCCACCAGGUUGCUUGCAUGCCACUUGAGAGGCAGGUCUGAAAUGGCACUGGAUGAGCCAGUUCUGGAAUGCCUUUAAUGUUUGGCCACUGACUGCAGACUCUGGAGGGCAGCAGAUGAUGUGGGUGAAGCUGGUCAACUGGGAAGUGGAGGGGAGGUGUGCUGGGAGUUGGGGAACAGCCCAGGUCCUUCCAGGGACCACAGCAGCCCUGCUUUAUGGAGGAGCAGUUCUCUACUGCUUGGGGCCCAGAGGGAGCAGUCCGAUAUUUUAAACAUUCCUUUGAAUGUGGUUAAACCUGAGCAGCAUUUUAAAAACCAGUUUUUCUUGGGCAUUUAGAUCUUGAUUCCAAAUUAGUUCACAGUUUAAAUUAGAAAUGUGAUUUGGGGAAUUCCCUGGUAGUGAAGCUGGUUAAGGAUCUAGCAUUGUUACUGCCAUGGUGUGGUUUUGAUCCCUGUCCCAGGAAUUUCUGCAUACCUUGGGUAUUGCCAAAAACAAAUGAUUUGCCUUUGAAAACAAACCAGAAACACUGCAAAUAUAACAGUUUUACUAAUAACUAAAUUUUUUCUUACAACUUUGGGUUUUUUCCGUCUUACAUCUUCCUAAAGAUUCUACCAUGUUCCCCCUUUACUGGAUGCUAUAUAGUCUUACUCCAGGAGGUCCUGCUGCGGCACAGUGGGUUAAUGAUCCAGCUUGUCUCUGGAGGCUUGGGUUCAAUCCCCAGCAAUGGGUUAAGGAUCUAGUGUUGCUGCAGCCGUGCUAUAGAUAAGCUCUGGCUUGGAUUCAAUCCCUGGCCCAGGAGCUUCCAUAUGCUGCAGGUGCAGCUGAAAAAGAAAAAGCAAAACCCUUUUAUUUGGCCCUAAAGAAUGCCAUCUCAUCAGCAGUGUGGGAGUCUGGUAUUUUUGGCUGGUUAACUAGGUUGGGACACAGAAGCCCAAAGUUAAUUAAAAACUAAGGUGCUAGAAGUGAGGUUGAACCCUCUCUCAGAACAGUUUAUCUUGGAGUUCCCGUUGUGGGAUCUGGCCUCCCGUUGUGGGAUCCCUGGCCUUGAACCUGCAUCCUCAUGGGUACUAGUGGGGUUCAUAAGGAUCUGGCAUUUCUGAGCUGUGGUCUCAGUCACAGAUGUGGCUUGGAUCUGGCAUGGCUGUGGCUGUGGUGUAGACAUCCCUAGGGAGGCAUUUUUUUCUUUUGCACCUGCUCUUUUUUAGUGACAGUAUCUGAGGCCCUUACCUGGGUGCUGGGGGACAUACACUCGAGUGUUAGGCCAAAGUACUCCCUCUGUUAUUACUUGUGUAAGACAGAGCUGGCAAAGGUCUUUUUACGAGAGGUAUGGAGGUUCCCAGGCUAGGGGUUCAAUCGGAGCUGUAGCCUCCAGCAAAGCCGCAACAAUGUCAGAUCCGAGCCAUGUCUGCAACCUACACCACAGCUCAUGGCAAUGCUGGAUCCUUAACCCACUAAGCGAGGCCAGGGAUUGAACCUGUGUCCUCAUGGGUGCUAGUCAGAUUCCUUUCCGCUGAGCCACGACGGGAACUCUAGGGGUUUUUUUGGUGUGUUGUCCACACACAAUUAAAUGUGUUAUAUUAUUCUACCCUGCUUACAACAUGGACUAGUCUAACAUUAGGAUUUUUCACUUGUGUUGACAGUUACUGUGCAGGAGUGUGGGUGUUAUCCCAAAUCAGGAUUUUCAUGUGAGAUUUUCCGGUUUUUAUACCAUAACAUAAGUCAAAGCAGCACAUAGGCCAAAUUCAUUCUGCCGGCUAGAAGUUUACAGCUGAGGAUAGAUAAGAUAAAUAGAUAUGUGAAUGCUACUAGGAUGUGAGUACAGUCUUAUUACUACAAAAGUGCUGUUAAAAUUUACGGGGCAGCUAGGAACAGUGUAAGUUAGGGCUGCUGGCACAAAAGGCAGUGCAGCCCAGUAGUCCCUGCUCUUACUUGUUCAACCAUCAAAUCUUACAUGCAGCCUAUGUCAGGGCUGGAUGUCAGGGUGGAGAUUAAAAAAAAAAGGUAAGAUUACUGUAAGGGGAAGGCCUGUACAACUUGAACCCAAGGAUUUAAAAGCUACAUGAGCUUUUACAAGUCCUGCAAAGCCCCUUAGCCUGGCCCAGGCGACUGGACACAGGAAUUAGGUUAGGCCACAUCCUAGACCUGGUUAUAGAGCAUGUGGGUUUUCAGAACAAUUCAGAACUUUACAUACAUCUGUUUUGAGCAAUUCUUUUUCUUUUUAUGGCCAUACCUUUGGCAUAUGAAACUUCCCAGGCCAGGGGCCAAGUUGCAGCUGCAGGCCGACAUCACAGCCACAGCAACACUGGAGUUGAGCUGCAUCUGCAACCUACGCUGCAGCUUGUGGCAAUGCCAAAUUCUUAACCCCCUGCGUGAGGACAAGGAUGGAAUCUGCAUCCUCACAGAGACUAUAUCAGGUCCUUAACCCACUGAGCACAAUGGGAACUCCUUGAACAAUUUUUAUAUGUACUGUCUCCUUUAAAACCACAUCUCCAUAAGGCAAAAGUGCCAAUUUCAUGGAUGAGAAAAUAUGCCAAUUUCACAGCAGGGUAAAAAUGAGAGGUCAAAAAUAUUGUCUAAAGCUAUAGGAGCUAAUAAGGGGUGGAAUGAGGUUGUGAAUCCAGGCUGGCUGAACUGUCUCAAAUGACAGGUAGUCUUGGAGUUCUCGUAGUGGUGCAGUGGAAAUGAAUCUGACUAGGAGCCAUGAGGUUGUGGGUUUGAUCCCAGGCCUCACUCAGUGGGUUGAGGAUCCCACGUUGCGGUGAGCUGUGGUGUAGAUCGCAGACACGGCUCGAAUCCUGAGUUGCUGUGGCUCUGGCAUAGGCUGGCGGCUACAGCUCUGAUUUGACCCCUAGACUGGGAACUUCUUUUGUGGAGGGUGUGGCCCUAAAAAGACAAAAAACAGCAGCAGGAUGAGCAGAGGAAGGACUUUAGCAGACUGGCAAGAUAAAUGGAUCAGCAUGCUGUUUCAAGUACCAGGAAGUCAGACUCUCACUGAUUUCAACACUAAAGGGAAUUUACUGGUUUACACAACUGAAGAUUGAGUAGUGGGCUCCAGGUAAAGCCUGAAAUCUUUCAGCAACUCAAUGACUUCCACGUACUAAGGACUGUCUGCCCUUGGAGUCUGAAAGUGGCUGUCAGCUAGGGAAGGACCAUCCAAAUGAUCACAAUACUUCAUUUCUGAGUUCAAGGUGGCUGUUCCCAUAGUCACCAGAGAAGGAACGUGGGUACUUUGCAUGGUACCGCCUAAGCGACACACAUUCCUUUCAUUCAAUUCCCACUGGCCAUUAUUUAUUAGCAGACUCAUAUCUAGCUGCUGCGGAGGUGCGACGGCCAUAGCCCCUCCUAAACGUUCACGGAGAAUACUGGUCAUAGUUCAGGCCUGACCCUGGUGCCCAUUCCCAGUACGUGUCCGUCCUGCCUGAUGUGGUGCUUCCUGACUGCGGCCGGUGUGCCAGUGGCAGAAGUAACCGCGGCGAAGCACCGUGCUUGCAAAGGGCCAGCCGCUGUAAGUGGCUGAAGUAGCCACCAGCCCUCGCCUGAAUUCCACACCACAGCUCACUGCAACACUGACACCCUGUGGGAGGAGCCAGCAGAACCAUCCGGAUCGUGGCCUCUCCCCUGCCUUCCCGGUCCUUGACUAAGGACCUUCCGAUCCCAGCAAUGUGCCCAGCACACACCUACCGACUUCCCCUCUGCGGGCAGUGAUACACCACCUCUCUCAUCAGCCUCCUCCAGUAAGUGCGUUUUUCUUCCUUGGACCUUACAUUUCUAUUUUAAAAGAAAGUGACCUCAAGCACUGGUCCAGCUCUGACCCCGCGAUUCCAGGAGAAAAUCUCAGAAAAAGCAUAGGCCCCACGUAAAUGCCAGAGAGGCGGGCAGGAGUUGACGAGGCCCGCACACGGUGUGUCUGUUCUUUCAGAAUCAGACAGGGUCCGCGGGACGCGUAACUACUGCGGCGUUCGAAAGUCCGCACCUCCUUAGACGCAAAUGC